rnacentral:misc_RNA from 1 species
GAUGAAGAACGUAGCGAAAUGCGAUACUUGGUGUGAAUUGCAGAAUCCCGCGAAUCAUCGAGUUUUUGAACGCAAGUUGCGCCCGAAGCCAUUCGGCCGAGGGCACGACUGCCUGGGUGUCACGCAUCGUUGCCCCCCCAAACUCCGGUUCGGGCGGGGCGGAAGUUGGCCUCCCGUGCGUGCCUGCGCGCGCGGUUAGCCCAAAAGCGAGUCCUCGGCGAUGAGCGCCACGACAAUCGGUGGUUUUUUUACCCUCGUUCCUCGUCGUGCGUGCCCCGUCGCCCGAACGCGCUCUUGCAACCCUUACGCGUCGCCUCGGUGGCGCUCCCAACGCGACCCCAGGUCAGGCGGGACUACCCGCUGAGUUUAAGCAUAUCAAUAAGCGGAGGA